AGCGAACGCUGGCGGCAGGCCUAACACAUGCAAGUCGAACGAAGUCUUCGGACUUAGUGGCGGACGGGUGAGUAACACGUGGGAACGUACCUUUUGGUUCGGAACAACUCAGGAAACUUGAGCUAAUACCGGAUGAGCCCUUAGGGGGAAAGAUUUAUCGCCGAAAGAGCGGCCCGCGUUAGAUUAGCUAGUUGGUGAGGUAAAGGCUCACCAAGGCUACGAUCUAUAGCUGGUCUGAGAGGAUGAUCAGCCACACUGGGACUGAGACACGGCCCAGACUCCUACGGGAGGCAGCAGUGGGGAAUCUUGCGCAAUGGGCGAAAGCCUGACGCAGCCAUGCCGCGUGAAUGAUGAAGGUCCUAGGAUUGUAAGAUUCUUUUACCAGGGACGAUAAUGACGGUACCUGGAGAAAAAGCCCCGGCUAACUUCGUGCCAGCCGCCGCGGUAACAC
rnacentral:rRNA from 1 species